rnacentral:rRNA from 1 species
GAUGAACGCUGGCGGCGUGCUUAACACAUGCAAGUCGAACGGUGAAGGCGGAGCUUGCUCUGCUGGAUCAGUGGCGAAUGGGUGAGUAACACGUGAGCAAUCUGCCCCUGACUCUGGGAUAAGCGCUGGAAACGGCGUCUAAUACUGGAUACGAGCUGCGAAGGCAUCUUCAGCAGCUGGAAAGAACUUCGGUCAGGGAUGAGCUCGCGGCCUAUCAGCUUGUUGGUGAGGUAACGGCUCACCAAGGCGUCGACGGGUAGCCGGCCUGAGAGGGUGACCGGCCACACUGGGACUGAGACACGGCCCAGACUCCUACGGGAGGCAGCAGUGGGGAAUAUUGCACAAUGGGCGAAAGCCUGAUGCAGCAACGCCGCGUGAGGGACGACGGCCUUCGGGUUGUAAACCUCUUUUAGCAGGGAAGAAGCGAAAGUGACGGUACCUGCAGAAAAAGCGCCGGCUAACUACGUG